rnacentral:tRNA from 1 species
UCCGCGGUAGCUCAAUGGCAGAGCGGCUCCCUGUUAAGGAGAUGGUUGCAGGUUCGAGUCCUGCCCGCGGAGCCA